GUUUGCGAUCAUACCAGCACUAAAGCACCGGAUCCCAACAGAACUCCGAAGUUAAGCGUGCUUGGGCGAGAGUAGUACUAGGAUGGGUGACCUCCUGUGAAGUCCUCGUGUUGCAUUCC
rnacentral:rRNA from 1 species